rnacentral:rRNA from 1 species
AGCGAACGCUGGCGGCAGGCUUAACACAUGCAAGUCGAGCGGGCGUAGCAAUACGUCAGCGGCAGACGGGUGAGUAACGCGUGGGAACGUACCUUUUGGUUCGGAACAACACAGGGAAACUUGUGCUAAUACCGGAUAAGCCCUUACGGGGAAAGAUUUAUCGCCGAAAGAUCGGCCCGCGUCUGAUUAGCUAGUUGGUGAGGUAACGGCUCACCAAGGCGACGAUCAGUAGCUGGUCUGAGAGGAUGAUCAGCCACAUUGGGACUGAGACACGGCCCAAACUCCUACGGGAGGCAGCAGUGGGGAAUAUUGGACAAUGGGCGCAAGCCUGAUCCAGCCAUGCCGCGUGAGUGAUGAAGGCCCUAGGGUUGUAAAGCUCUUUUGUGCGGGAAGAUAAUGACGGUACCGCAAGAAUAAGCCCCCGGCUAACUUCGUGCCAGCCGCCGCGGUAC